rnacentral:rRNA from 1 species
GACGAACGCUGGCGGCGUGCCUAAUACAUGCAAGUAGAACGCUGAAGGAGGAGCUUGCUUCUCCGGAUGAGUUGCGAACGGGUGAGUAACGCGUAGGUAACCUGCCUGGUAGCGGGGGAUAACUAUUGGAAACGAUAGCUAAUACCGCAUAACAGUAGAUAUUGCAUGAUAUCUGCUUGAAAGGUGCAAUUGCAUCACUACCAGAUGGACCUGCGUUGUAUUAGCUAGUUGGUGAGGUAACGGCUCACCAAGGCGACGAUACAUAGCCGACCUGAGAGGGUGAUCGGCCACACUGGGACUGAGACACGGCCCAGACUCCUACGGGAGGCAGCAGUAGGGAAUCUUCGGCAAUGGACGGAAGUCUGACCGAGCAACGCCGCGUGAGUGAAGAAGGUUUUCGGAUCGUAAAGCUCGGUUGUAAGAGAAGAACGAGUGUGAGAGUGGAAAGUUCACACUGUGACGGUAUCUUACCAGAAAGGGACGGCUAACUACGUG